rnacentral:rRNA from 1 species
CAGUCGCCACGGGAAUACGUAGGGUGCAAGCGUUAAUCGGAAUUACUGGGCGUAAAGCGUGCGCAGGCGGUUCGCUAAGACAGAUGUGAAAUCCCCGGGCUUAACCUGGGAACUGCAUUUGUGACUGGCGGGCUAGAGUAUGGCAGAGGGGGGUAGAAUUCCACGUGUAGCAGUGAAAUGCGUAGAGAUGUGGAGGAAUACCGAUGGCGAAGGCAGCCCCCUGGGCCAAUACUGACGCUCAUGCACGAAAGCGUGGGGAGCAAACAGGAUUAGAUACCCGGGUAGUCCCUGUCUCUUAUAC